GAUGAACGCUGGCGGCGUGCCUAAUACAUGCAAGUCGAGCGAACAGACGAGGAGCUUGCUCCUCUGACGUUAGCGGCGGACGGGUGAGUAACACGUGGAUAACCUACCUAUUAGACUGGGAUAACUUCGGGAAACCGGAGCUAAUACUGGAUCAUAUAUUGAACCGCAUGGUUCAAUAGUUAAAGAGGGUUUUGGUGUUACUUAUAGCUGGAUUCGGGCCGCAUUAGCUAGUUGGUAAGGUAACGGCUUACCAAGGCAACGAUGAGUAGCCGACCUGAGAGGGUGAUCGGCCACACUGGAACUGAGACACGGUCCAGACUCCUACGGGAGGCAGCAGUAGGGAAUCUUCCGCAAUGGGCGAAAGCCUGACGGAGCAACGCCGCGUGAGUGAUGAAGGUCUUCGGAUCGUAAAACUCUGUUAUUAGGGAAGAACAAAUGUGUAAGUAACUAUGCACGUCUUGACGGUACCUAAUCAGAAAGCCACGGCUAACUACGUG
rnacentral:rRNA from 1 species